rnacentral:lncRNA from 1 species
GGAAGGCGUGGGCGUAGCACACAAAAAUAUGGGAAUCGGGCGGAAUUCUAGUUUUUUUGAUACAAAAAAUGACAAAAAAUGAGGAACGAUCAUGGCGAGGCGGUGACUAUGGUCCCUUAGGUCGUAAUUGAUGGACCAUAAUAUUUUUAGGCGAUCCGAGUCCGGCGGCCCGGCCCACUCGGAAGGCGUGGGGCAUACAAAAAUAUGUUAAUCGAGCGUAAUUUUAGCUUUUUGGCCAAAAAACGCAAUAAAUGAGGAACGAUCAUGGGGGGGCGGUGACUAUGGUUCCUUAGGUCGUAUUUGAUGGCCCGGAAAAUUUUAGGCGAUUGGGGUGCACGGUUCCCGGGACCACUCGGAAGGCGUAAGCUAUAGCACACGAAAAUAUGCAAAUCGCGCGGAGUUCUAGUUUUUUGGCCGAAAAAUGCAAAGCAUUUGGAACAAUCAUGUUGGGGCGGUGACUAUGGUACCUUAGAUCGUAUUUGAUAGUCCGAAAAUAUUUUAGGCGAUCGGGGUCCGCGGCUCCCCGGAUUACUUGGAAGGCAUGGGUAUAGCACACGGAAAUAUGGGAAUCGGGCGUAAUUCUAGUUUUUUGGCCGAAAAAUGCAAAAACUAAGAAACGAUGAUCGCGGAGCGGUUACUAUGGUUCCUUAGGUCCUAUUUGACGGCCCGGAAAAUUUUUAGGCGAUCGGGGUCCGGGGGUCCCGGAACCACUUGGAGGGGUGGGCAAUAGCACACAAAAAUAUUGUAAUCGGGCGGAAUUCUAGGUUUUUGGCCGAAAAAUGCAACAAAUGAGGAAUGAU